rnacentral:rRNA from 1 species
CAAUAGCGUAUAUUAAAGUUGUUGCGGUUAAAAGCUCGUAGUUGGAUUUCUGUUGAGAACGACCGGUCCACCUCUUGGGUGAGUAUCUGGUUUGGUCUCGGCAUCCUCUCGAAACUCGUUGCUGCGCUUGAUUGCGUGGUGCGGUGUUCGGGACUUUUACUUUGAGGAAAUUAGAGUGUUCACGGCAGGCAUUCGCCUUGAAUAUAUUAGCAUGGAAUAAUACUAUAGGAUCUUGGUUCUAUUUUGUUGGUUUCUAGAGCGAAGGUAAUGAUUAAUAGGGAUAAUUGGGGGCGAUUCGUAUUAACGCGUCAGAGGUGGAAUUCUUGGAUUGCGUUACGACGAACUACUGCGAAAGCAUUUGCCAAGGAUGUUUUCAUUGAUCAAGAACGAAAGUUAGGGGAUCGAAGACGAUCAGAUACCGU